rnacentral:rRNA from 1 species
AUUGAACGCUGGCGGCAGGCCUAACACAUGCAAGUCGAGCGGAUGAAGGGAGCUUGCUCCUGGAUUCAGCGGCGGACGGGUGAGUAAUGCCUAGGAAUCUGCCUGGUAGUGGGGGAUAACGUCCGGAAACGGGCGCUAAUACCGCAUACGUCCUGAGGGAGGAAGUGGGGGAUCUUCGGACCUCACGCUAUCAGAUGAGCCUAGGUCGGAUUAGCUAGUUGGUGGGGUAAAGGCCUACCAAGGCGACGAUCCGUAACUGGUCUGAGAGGAUGAUCAGUCACACUGGAACUGAGACACGGUCCAGACUCCUACGGGAGGCAGCAGUGGGGAAUAUUGGACAAUGGGCGAAAGCCUGAUCCAGCCAUGCCGCGUGUGUGAAGAAGGUCUUCGGAUUGUAAAGCACUUUAAGUUGGGAGGAAGGGCAGUAAGUUAAUACCUUGCUGUUUUGACGUUACCAACAGAAUAAGCACCGGCGAACUUCGU